rnacentral:rRNA from 1 species
ACGAACGCUGGCGGCAUGCCUAAUACAUGCAAGUCGAGCGAACAGAUGAAGUGCUUGCACUUCUGACGUUAGCGGCGAACGGGUGAGUAACACGUAAGGAAUCUACCUAUAAGCGGGGGAUAACAUUCGGAAACGGGUGCUAAUACCGCAUAAUAUCUUCUUCCGCAUGGAAGAAGAUUGAAAGACGGCUCUGCUGUCACUUAUAGAUGACCUUGCGGUGCAUUAGUUAGUUGGUGGGGUAAUGGCCUACCAAGACGAUGAUGCAUAGCCGACCUGAGAGGGUGAUCGGCCACAUUGGGACUGAGACACGGCCCAAACUCCUACGGGAGGCAGCAGUAGGGAAUCUUCCGCAAUGGGCGAAAGCCUGACGGAGCAAUGCCGCGUGAGUGAAGAAGGCCUUCGGGUCGUAAAACUCUGUUAUAAGAGAAGAACAAAUUGUAGAGUAACUGCUACAGUCUUGACGGUAUCUUAUCAGAAAGCCACGGCUAACUACGUG